rnacentral:rRNA from 1 species
AGAGUUUGAUCCUGGCUCAGGAUGAACGCUGGCGGCGUGCCUAAUACAUGCAAGUCGAACGCUUCACAUAUGUGAAGAGUGGCGAACGGGUGAGUAAUACAUAAGUAACCUGGCCUUUACAGGGGGAUAACUGUUGGAAACGAUAGCUAAGACCGCAUAGGUGUCAUAACCGCAUGGAGAUGAUAUGAAAUAUGCUACGGCAUAGGUAGAGGAUGGACUUAUGGGCGCAUUAGCUAGUUGGAGGGGUAACGGCCCACCAAGGCGACGAUGCGUAGCCGACCUGAGAGGGUGACCGGCCACACUGGGACUGAGACACGGCCCAGACUCCUACGGGAGGCAGCAGUAGGGAAUUUUCGGCAAUGGGGGAAACCCUGACCGAGCAACGCCGCGUGAAGGAAGAAGUAAUUCGUUAUGUAAAUUUCUGUCAUAGAGGAAGAACGGUGCGUGUAGGGAAUGACAUGCAAGUGACGGUACUCUAUAAGAAAGCCACGGCUAACUACGUGCCAGCAGCCGCGGUAAUACGUAGGUGGCGAGCGUUAUCCGGAAUUAUUGGGCGUAAAGAGGGAGCAGGCGGCACUAAGGGUCUGUGGUGAAAGAUCGAAGCUUAACUUCGGUAAGCCAUGGAAACCGUAGAGCUAGAGUGUGUGAGAGGAUCGUGGAAUUCCAUGUGUAGCGGUGAAAUGCGUAGAUAUAUGGAGGAACACCAGUGGCGAAGGCGACGAUCUGGCGCAUAACUGACGCUCAGUCCCGAAAGCGUGGGGAGCAAAUAGGAUUAGAUACCCUAGUAGUCCACGCCGUAAACGAUGA